GGGCUUGUAGCCUAGCACGGAUUAAGGUAUCGGCCUUCGGAGCCGGGGAUCGUGGGUUCAAAUCCCACCGAGCCCA
rfam:Miscellaneous Crenarchaeota group-6 archaeon AD8-1 WOR_8-12_1828, whole genome shotgun sequence.